UGGUGGUGAGACUUUUGUUUAUUUAUUUGACCACCGCUCAUCAAUCAGUCCUUGGCCAGAGUGGAUGAGCGUUAUACUUGGCUUUGAAACAGAAUUUGUUUUUGGAAUGCCUCAGAAUACAUCUCUGGGAUUAAGAAAACAGAAAACAGGAAGUUAAUAUGUCUAAGAAGUUUAUGAAAUACUGGGCCAACUUAGCUUGAGCAAAGUAAGCAUAACCAGAUGGUCGAGGCUUGAUUCCCCCUCAGAAUUGCUUUGAUUUUUUUUUUUUUUUUUACAGAAAUUCAGGGUCUGAAGGAACUAAGUGGCCUGUGUUUACCCUUGAAGAGCAGGAAUAUGUCAAACUGAACUACAACCAUCCAGAAAAAAGAUGAUGAGAGCUAAAGAAUGUCAGCUCUUGAACAAAUGUAUCCCCAAAAUACAAAGCAUGUCAGCUGGAUUACUGAGACCCUUACCUGUACCUGGCCAGCUGUGGUCCCACAUCUCAUUGGAUUUCAUCAACGGGCAUCCCUCUGCAUCAUGUAACACCACUAUUUUUACAAUCAUUGAUUGUUUCUGCAAACCAGCCCAACUCAUUGCUCCUCCUAAGCUUCCAAUGGCUUUGGAAACUGCUCAGGUUCUAACCUAGCAUGUAUUCCGACUCCAUGGCAUUCCCCUGGACAUUAUGAAAUAAUGUUUUUGAUUGAGCCUGCCAAUUUAAACUGGAAAGAAUUCUACAUUUAAAUUGUCAGUUUGUCAUCAGUUUUCCAUCCACGACCAAUGAACAUACUGGGAGACUCGUUUAGGACCUGGAGGCAGCACUUUGUUGUGUGGCAUCCUCCAAUCAAACCAACUGGAGCCCCCACCUGGUGUGGGCUGAUUAUGCCAAGAACUCAUCAACAUGUCUUGAUGCAUGUUCAAUCAUCCAGCAUCUCCACCGCUGCCAGCACUUUUGGAGGGCAACCUGGAUGCCUUGUUGAAAAUGGCAACAAGCAGCGUGCUGACUGCCAUCAAGUCCCAGCGCCUGAGUACACCCCAGGUCAAAAAAUAUGGUUGCCUAUCAAAAAUAUCUUGUUGCACACUAAGUCUAAAAAACUGUCUCCAAGAUCGUUUGUCCCUUUGAGAUCCUGUGUAUCAUCAGCCCUGUCGCUGUCCUUCUGAGAUUACCCUGACAUGUGAAAAUUCACAACUCUUUCCAUGUGUCUCAGGUUAACCCCAUUCUGUCCAGCCUUCAACCUCCAUGAACUGAAGCAAUGUUGUAAAUAAGAGUGAGCCAAAAUUUCUCUACAACUACUUUAUAGCUGCUAUAGGUGGCUCUGCGGGG
ensembl:lncRNA